CCACCAGAACCAGGAGCUCUCAUAAAAAUAUUAUACUACCAUAUCUGCAACACGAUCAAAUUCCUCACUUCUUUCUUUUCGAGUGAUUGAAAAUUAUAUGACAAUGGUUGCAUCAGUGGAGGAGAUCAGAAAGGCCCAGAGAGCCCAGGGUCCUGCCACCGUCCUCGCCAUUGGCACUGCCACUCCCUCUAACUGUGUCAACCAGGCUGAUUACCCUGAUUAUUACUUCAGGAUCACCAAGAGUGAGCACAUGACCGAGUUGAAAGAAAAGUUCAAGCGCAUGUGUGACAAAUCCAUGAUCAAGAAACGUUACAUGCAUUUAAAUGAAGAAAUCUUGAAAGAGAAUCCUAACAUGUGCGCUUAUUGGGAACCAUCUCUUGAUGCUCGCCAAGACAUUGUCGUGGUGGAGGUUCCAAAGUUAGGAAAGGAAGCAGCAACUAAGGCCAUCAAAGAAUGGGGCCAACCCAAAUCUAAGAUUACCCACCUCAUUUUCUGCACAACUUCUGGUGUUGACAUGCCUGGUUGUGACUACCAGCUCACUAAGCUCCUUGGUCUCCGUCCAUCUGUCAAGCGAUUUAUGAUGUAUCAGCAGGGCUGCUUUGCCGGCGGGACGGUCCUCCGUCUAGCCAAGGACUUGGCUGAAAACAAUAAGGGUGCUCGAGUUCUUGUUGUGUGCUCUGAGAUCACUGCUGUCACUUUCCGUGGUCCUUCUGACACCCACUUGGAUUCCUUAGUAGGUCAAGCUCUUUUCGGUGAUGGAGCUGGAGCUUUAAUUGUUGGAUCUGAUCCUGAUACUUCCAUCGAGCGUCCAUUAUUUCAGCUUGUCUCUGCAGCACAAACAAUCCUUCCUGACUCUGACGGCGCUAUUGAUGGACACUUACGUGAAGUGGGUCUCACCUUUCACUUACUCAAAGACGUUCCAGGGUUGAUUUCGAAGAACAUAGAGAAAAGCUUGGUGGAAGCAUUUAGUCCAAUUGGUAUCAGCGAUUGGAACUCCAUAUUUUGGAUAGCUCACCCAGGUGGUCCAGCUAUUCUCGACCAGGUUGAAGAGAAACUGAAUCUAAAACCUGAAAAAAUGAGAGCAACCAGACAUGUUCUGAGCGAGUAUGGAAACAUGUCAAGUGCUUGUGUGUUAUUUAUCCUGGACGAGAUGAGAAAGAAGUCUCUGGAGGAAGGGAAGGUCACAACCGGAGAAGGGUUGGAGUGGGGCGUUUUGUUCGGGUUUGGGCCUGGCCUAACGGUGGAGACUGUCGUGCUACAUAGCGUCCCCACAGAGAGGGCAGCUCAUUGAGUUAAUUACUUGCAAGAGGCGGAGUAGGGACAAGACUUGCUGGAUUUUGUGGUAGGGCAACUGAGGGUAGAAAUGGAAAAAUAUUUUAUAAUAAGAAGAAGACUCAAGACUAGUCGCUUUGGUAAUUGCAAGCCUGGAGUAAGACUGUAAUAAAAUUUGUUUAUAUUUUAUGGAUAAUUAUUAGAUGGAUCGAAAAUAUUAAAAAAUAAUAUUUUCUCUCUCAUAAAAAAGUGAGUUAUUUUUAUAAUAUAGAAAAUAAAUUUUAAGAAAUUAUAUAAAUGCACUAAGUGCACUUAAUAAUAUUUUAUAUUUUAUUAUGCUCUUAAAUGUAAGUCUCCG
rnacentral:misc_RNA from 1 species